CCCAUGCCUGUGAGCAGACCAGCUUCAGGCUCAGGUGUAGGUGCGGGAUGACCACGGCCACUGGGCACAGCAUCACUUCUCUGAGACUUGGAAAAAAACAGGAUAGGGGAAUUGGGGAUGUGCAAGGGAGGGCAGUGGCCACCGAGAUCGGUGCUUAGAAGGUCCUGUAGAUGAGAAGUGAGAAUUGCCUCGGGAGGCUGAGAGAUGCUCUUUGCUGUAUCACAUGUGAACCCUGUGGCUGGAAAUGGGAUGUUCCCUUUUAAAGAGAAUAUGGCAUCCUGGAGGAGCCCCCUUCUGUCAGUAGGAGAAUGGUCUGUGGUUAUAUGUGCUGCCAGGGGGCAAAGCUGGUCCUCAGAAAGAUGGGGUCUUUCCCUGUUUGGUGUCAUGAAGCCAAUACACAAAGCCGAAACUGAGUGUCAAGCAGUGCAGGACUGAUUCGAUGGCCAUGGAAUUGAGGAGCGAGAGCCUGGCUCACAAAUCGACUUCUCAACAAGUGAAGGGUGAAGGGGUGAGAAUAUAGGAUUUCUCUCUUGAAGGAGUUGGACGUUAAAAGCCAGGGUAGAAAUAUUCUCAUAUUUUCUGUAAUUGGGUGGUGAACUUCUUUGGAACCGAAGGGCUGCCUUCCUUUUUGUCCUUUGAUGGCUUCUUCUGGUCAUUGUCAUGGUGAUUGUCAACCUGUCAUAGCACUGGUGGGAGCAUCAUUUAGCAUGGAGAUGAGAUUAGAAUGAAGCCUGAUGAUGGGCUAUCUUGGCUCUAACCACUCCCAGUUGGUCUGGUUACAAAGGGAACUUUUUAUUGCAGGCAUCCUGUUUCUCAAAGACAAGCAGAGUCAGGACAUGGUAGAAAUUCAGCUAUGCCACGCAGGCAUUGCACUGGCUAUCACUAGCUUUCAUGGCCCCUCUGAGUGAUGAGAAAAGUCGCCCUCUGGGCAGGUGCACCAAUCAGAGCAUGGGCUGGAUUUCUGCCUCCCUGUCCCUUUUGGUCCAGAGCCUUUGUGGGACAGCUGUAGGAGGAGGCCCUGGGUACUGCAGUAGGUUUCAGCGGGAGGCAUGUGGUCAGGGAAGAGAACGGAAGGAGAGUGGGACCCUGCACCCAGGAUCCAGGAGGGUGGGGACCAACAUGUACCUGCAUCUGGAUCUAUAACCCUGGUGCUAGUCUGGCACAAUGUGUUCAGGAAAUGUUGCUGAGAAUGUCUGAAAAAUAAAUCACCUUCCUUUCGUUCCUUGGGAUGAGCCCUCAGCCUUCAUUGGAAUUGAGGAAUUCCAAAGAAGUUGGAACGAUUCUGGAAGUGAGGAAGAGGGUGCUAUUGGCCAUGUACGAUGAGAACUAAGGGGAAAUGCUUGCCUUAUUUUGUCAGCUUCAUUAGUGAAUGCUUUAGAAUCCUCAAAAAAAAAAAA
rnacentral:lncRNA from 1 species